GUAGCACAUCGAAGAGUGAUGCCUUCUGGAUCGCCACCGCCUUGCUGUGAAUGGUUGACUCCUGUGGGUCAACACCACAUGUGUACAUAACACCGCAGGAGUAUAGACCGAACGAAUCACCAGUUGUACCAUUCAACGAAAUAUAAUAGCCAGAUCAAGUGCGACGACAUUAGACAUUCGUACGCGAUAACUCCUCCAGUAAGCAUCUCUCCAAGUGUUGUGUGACCGUGCAAAGUAUUAGCUCAGCGAGAACUUCUCCAGUGUAGCACUCUACAGUACAAAACCGAGUUCAGAAUGGCCAAAUUGGGACUGUUGUUCAUCGUUAUCUUCUGCAUCAUCCAGCUGACUCUUGCUGCCCGCAUCCGCCGUGAUGCUUUUGAUGAGGCUGUAGAUUCUGUCAAGAAGGGAAUCUCUGAUACUUUCACCAAGGAAAAUGUUGACAACUUCCUCGGCAAACUAUCGGAACUGGGAGACGUGAUCAAGUCGAAGGCUACCGAAAUCGGAUCGACUCUGCAGGAGAAGGCCCAGGAAGCGAUGAAGAAGGAAUAAUUGAGUAGUGUAGUUAAGUUUAACAACCACCAGUGUGCUGUGCCUCCCGAAUACCAACCAGGGAUUUAAAGAAGAAAAAAAACGAAAUAAAGUUGACAUCGAUUGAUGAAAAUGAUA